UUGACCUCGGAUCAGGUAGGGAUACCCGCUGAACUUAAGCAUAUCAAUAAGCGGAGGAAAAGAAACCAACCGGGAUUGCCUCAGUAACGGCGAGUGAAGCGGCAAGAGCUCAAAUUUGAAAUCUGGCCCCUCCGGGGUCCGAGUUGUAAUUUGCAGAGGAUGCUUCGGGUGCGGCCCCUGUCUAAGUGCCCUGGA
rnacentral:rRNA from 1 species